rnacentral:rRNA from 1 species
CGGUACGCGUAACACGUAAGCAACCUGCCUCAAAGACCGGGACAACAUUCCGAAAGGGGUGCUAAUACCGGAUGUGGCCAUCGGGGGGCAUCCUCUGGUGAUUAAACCGAGCAAUCGGCUUUGAGAGGGGCUUGCGGCCUAUCAGCUAGUUGGUGGGGUAACGGCCUACCAAGGCGACGACGGGUAGCUGGUCUGAGAGGACGAUCAGCCGGACUGGGACUGAGAUACGGCCCAG